GUACACGCUGUGACUAGCAUAUCAAUAAGCGGAGGAAAAGAAACUAACAAGGAUUCCCUUAGUAACGGCGAGUGAAGCGGGAAGAGCUCAAAUUUGAAAUCUUCAAGGUUUUACCUUGACGAAUUGUAGUUUAAAGAAGUGUUUUUCUGCUGAAGUUUUGGUAAAAGUUCUUUGGAAUAGGACAUCAUAGAGGGUGAGAAUCCCGUAUUUGACCAUUAUUUUCAGCUUUGUGAUACACUUUCAAAGAGUCGGAUUGUUUGGGAAUGCAGUCCAAAAUGGGUGGUAAAUUUCAUCUAAAGCUAAAUAUUGGCGAGAGACCGAUAGCGAACAAGUACCGUGAGGGAAAGAUGAAAAGAACUUUGAAAAGAGAGUUAAACAGUACGUGAAAUUGUCAAAAGGGAAGCGUUUGACACCAGUGUUGUUUUCUCGAAAAUCAAUUAAAAAUGGCUCGAUUUUGUAUUGCUGAGACCUUAAAAGCUCACUGUACAUUUUUCGUGUCUUUUUUAAUGCACUUUUCGUUUAACAAGUCAACAUCAGUUUCUUUUGUUGUAAAAGGGUCAUUGGAAGGUGGCUUUCUUUUCGGAGAAAGUGUUUAUAAGCCUUUGGCCUCUGCAAUCGAAGAGACUGAGGUCUGCAGCGUAGACUCUUCGGGGUUAGAUACAUUUGUGCUAAGUUAUAGCUUUUUAUAGACAACUUGUUGACUAUAAUUAGUCUUGUAGCUUACUCGCUUAUGCUAUUUUACCUACGCUUAGGAUGUUGAACUACUGAGACAUAGA
rnacentral:rRNA from 1 species